CCUACGGGAGGCAGCAGUAAGGAAUAUUGGACAAUGCUCGCAAGAGUGAUCCAGCCAUGCCGCGUGCAGGAAGAAUGCCCUAUGGGUAGUAAACUGCUUUUGAACUAGAGAAAACCCCAGUACGUGUACUGGGCUGAUAGUAUAGUUAGAAUAAGCAUCGGCUAACUUCGUGCCAGCAGCCGCGGUAAGACGAAGGAUGCAAGCGUUAUCCGGAUUCAUUGGGUUUAAAGGGAGCGUAGGUGGACUGAUAAGUCAGUGGUGAAAUCUCCGAGCUUAACUCGGAAAUUGCCAUUGAUACUGUUGGUCUUGAGUACAGUUGCUGUGGGCGGAAUAUGACAUGUAGUGGUGAAAUACAUAGAGAUGUCAUAGAACACCGAUUGCGAAGGCAGCUCACAAAGCUGUAACUGACACUGAGGCUCGAAAGUGCGGGGAUCAAACAGGAUUAGAUACCCUGGUAGUCCGCACCGUAAACGAUGAUUACUCGCUGCUAGGGGGCAACCUUAGUGCCUAGCGAAAGCGAUAGUAAUCACCUGGGGAGUACGCCGGCAACGGUGAAACUCAAAGGAAUUGACGG
rnacentral:rRNA from 1 species